rnacentral:rRNA from 1 species
GCAGCAGCCGCGGUAAUACAGAGGGUGCGAGCGUUAAUCGGAUUUACUGGGCGUAAAGCGUGCGUAGGCGGCUUUUUAAGUCGGAUGUGAAAUCCCCGAGCUUAACUUGGGAAUUGCAUUCGAUACUGGGAAGCUAGAGUAUGGGAGAGGAUGGUAGAAUUCCAGGUGUAGCGGUGAAAUGCGUAGAGAUCUGGAGGAAUACCGAUGGCGAAGGCAGCCAUCUGGCCUAAUACUGACGCUGAGGUACGAAAGCAUGGGGAGCAAACAGGAUUAGAUACCCCCGUAGUCCCUGUCUCUUAUAC